ensembl:lncRNA
GUUGGGGUGGAGUGGCAGCCCUGUCUGGGGUCAGGAAGGCUGGGGUAUCUAAUAGAGUUCCUGUCUUGGCACUGCUACUCAUAAGGUGCGUUCUUGGGCACUCUCUCUGGGCCUGGUAUCAUUUAUUUAAAAUGUAAGAAUCCUCUGAGGGUUGGGGGCGAAUCCAGCAAGAUGAUGUGAGGGAGGACGUCAGAGUAGCUUUUUGGUGAGAUGGUGGUCAUUACCAUCAUUUCACUGUGCUUGCGGCUGAGUGACUCCAUGUGUGCAAGAUCCCCUGCUCAGCUCAGCACUGCGGGGUGUGGGGCUGGGGCAAGGGUUCUGGAGAUCAUCAGGUCAGUUCCAGAUGGUUCCACAGGGUCACCCCAGGUCAGGAGGACAGGGAAGAGAGGCAGAGAGGGCUGUCCCCUGAGCACCUCCCAUGCAGGAUGUGUCUUAGAGUCAUCACAGUGCUCUACCCCCAAUUGUCAGUCAGACAUGAGGACUGCAGAGAGGUCCUCAGUUGUUGGAGCAACACUGUGGAGAGAUCUACAAAGCACAGCACCUCAGGAAAGAAGCACCGAGUGGAAAGGGUCAUUCAUGUGAACAGGAAGCACAAACUGCACAUAAACACCACGUGCUUCCUGUGUUUGUGUGAAUACAUCAGACAAAUUCAAGUGGAUGGCUUUUGGAAGCAAGAGAAAGGAAGUGGACAAGGAGAUGGGAAGACCAGAAGAAAAAUUUAUAAGACAAAUGGGAGUUCUAACAUAGGCAAAAACUCAGGAAGAUCAAUGUCACAUUCUGCAUCUUCAAAAGUAGGAGAAGCAAACAGAGAAGGGAAAUCUCUGACUCCUUCCUGACCUGGGAAACAGUUUACAAUUAACAUUCCUGGUUUAGUCUCCACCCCCUCUUGAAAUGGAAUUUUUAUCUCUUGAUUCCUGCUACAAGAUGCGAUGCCUGUUUAUCCAGUUGCAUGAAUAAUUGGUCAGCUCUUUCCAACUUGCCAGAAGCAACCCCUGGCCGUUUCUGGAGCACUGGGAGAGACCUUCGCACAGUUUCUGCUUGGAGUCCACCGCUCUUCAUCUCAGGUCUAGACAGCUACCUGUUCUAUUUGGCUUAGCCUGUGCUGCAGAAAGUCCCAGUUCUUCCAAAUCAAGCUCCAGGAAAUUGAGAAGCAUGUUAUUAGUUUUAGCAAACAAUUUAAACAAAACUAAGACCAGAUCUCCCAGCAAUGGUGAAGGAUCUCAAGGGAGACCUUGGUCACAGUGGGCCUGGCUUCCCUACAGGCACUGCCUGCCAUAGAGGACAAGCCAUCGAAAAGUGAGGGAGAAGAACAAUGACGCUGCCAGUGAUCCUGCCCCCAGCGUGGACCCUGCUGCUCCUUGAGGAAAUACACGGUCCUGGGAGCUCCGCUAGUGGGGUGCGCACCAUCCCACAGUGGUUCUGGUGCCUAAGAUGUACAUUAGUUGGACCACACCAACCAGCCUUGCACGACCGUUCUGAGUAAUUGAGAGGAGGUGGGUGCUCAGCACUGGGAUCUCUGGGUGAGGUUAGCUCCUAGUAACAAUGGAGAGAAGAGGCCAGGUACCAGGAGUUCACUACAGCCAGUCUCUGCCCACCUCCAGGCACAGACUCUUCCUCCACAAGACAUCCACAGCAUGCCAGAGGGAGCCAGGAGUGUAGGCAGGCUGACACCACGAUGUUUGUUUUCUUCUCUUUUCCUUAUGCAAACCACAUUUCUCUUCCAGAGAACUGUAAAACAGAAAAGAUCAUCAUUCACAGGUUCAUCAACAGAUGCUACAAAGCGGGUGGGUUAUGAGCUCAAGGUGAGAACUGUGGAGAUGGACUUUUCUCCUGGAGAUGAGAGCCGCUGAGGAUUCUGAGCAUCACAGGAUGUCAUGGGCAC